GCCACUGUGCCUCAGUUUCCAGAGGCCUUGGGACCUUCUCCCUUUGCUUUUCCCCCUCUGACAAGUCCCCCUCACCCCCGGUUCCUCUUCCCUUAUCAGCAGAAGCCGCUCUUAUCCCCUUAAUUCAUCAGCAGGCACAGCUGGGGAAGGAAGCGGACCAACCCAAUCCAGGGAGGUUGGCGCGGGCAGAGUGCCACCAAACCCGGGCUCCAGGCUGGGCCGCAUGCGCCCUCUACUGGCAGAAGCUUUCACAACAGUCCGAGCGCAUUUCAGCUUCCACGUCCAUGGAAUCACGCCUCUCCCCAGUUGCUGUCUGUGGAAGAAGUCUCCCCGUAGCGAGCACACACUGGGGCUAUAACACUCACUAACGUGACGGACCUUCCCUGUAAACAAGAGGAGGAUGCCCCCAUACGAGUUUCCAGGAGUCCUUGGGGGUAAUGGGAGCACUGAGCGCUCCAGGGAAGACCUAGUCUGAUCUGUGCGUUUGGUGAGCUGGGCUUUGACUCGGAAGGACCCUAGGGUGUUGUCUUGGGGUACCCACCCCCGCCUUCCUGCUCAGAUUCUGGGUCCCACAUAGGACUGAACGUGCACAGGGCACCACAAAGCUUCAGACAGACCGCAAGAGGCAUGGGAGAGAGAAGAGGAAGUGAAUUGGUGCAAGUGGGCGGGGAGCCCAGAAGAUGGCUGGCUCUUUGGCUUCUUCUCUCUUGGUGGGUUGUGGGUUCUCCCUGGAUCCCCAUCUUGGGCUGCUACCACACUAGUUACCUGCCUUGAAACCCACAUGGGCUUCUACUGUUCUAUGCAGAAGCAGUCAGCCUCACAUCUGAAUCUUCAUUGUCGGCAAAUUUGCAAAAGGUAGCCACUGGACAAGAAAGUGCACUUGCCUC